CCUGAGAGCCCAGGUUGUUUAACCCAGUCAGUCCUGAGAGCCCAGGUUGUUUAACCCUGUCAGUCCUGAGAGCCCAGGUUGUUUAACCCUGUCAGUCCUGAGAGCCCAGGUUGUUUAACCCUGUCAGUCCUGAGACCGUCAGUCCUGAGAGCCCAGGUUGUUAAACCCUGUCAGUCCUGAGAGCCCAGGUUGUUUAACCCUGUCAGUCCUGAGAGCCCAGGUUGUUUAACCCUGUCAGUCCUGAGAGCCCAGGUUGUUUAACCCUGUCAGUCCUGAGAGCCCAGGUUGUUUAACCCAGUCAGUCCUGAGAGCCCAGGUUGUUUAACCCUGUCAGUCCUGAGAGCCCAGGUUGUUUAACCCUGUCAGUCCUGAGAGCCCAGGUUGUUUAACCCUGUCAGUCCUGAGAGCCCAGGUUGUUUAACCCUGUCAGUCCUGAGAGCCCAGGUUGUUUAACCCUGUCAGUCCUGAGAGCCCAGGUUGUUUAACCCUGUCAGUCCUGAGAGCCCAGGUUGUUUAACCCUGUCAGUCCUGAGAGCCCAGGUUGUUUAACCCAGUCAGUCCUGAGAGCCCAGGUUGUUUAACCCUGUCAGUCCUGAGAGCCCAGGUUGUUUAACCCAGUCAGUCCUGAGAGCCCAGGUUGUUUAACCCUGUCAGUCCUGAGAGCCCAGGUUGUUUAACCCUGUCAGUCCUGAGAG